UUCCUGAAUCAGGGCCUUAGCUUGUAUUUUGGGGUGGCGGUGACCUAGUCAAUGCCACUAAAAAAAUCUAUUCAGCUGGUAUAAAUCGACAUAGCUGCACUAAAUUCAAUAGCAGCUAUGUUAAUUUUAUACCAGUGAAGGGGCUGGGUAAAGAGCAGUAUGUCUUUGGUGCUUUGGAGUAGGCAGCAGACCAUAUUGUGUUUCAGAGUCCCAGUAUUUCUUCAGGAGAAAAUACCAUGCCCCAGAUCUACACCUGGAACAGGUUAUCCCAUCCCUCCGCCUUGCUGCUCAGCUGUUCUGACUAGAGCAUUAGUGGGAGAAGCCCAGGUACUUUCACCCCCUGCACCGGAGAAGGAGCAGUACCUCUGUGGAUAUCCCACUGAGGAAAGGAAGUGGUAUCUUAUUUCCUGCUGUAACCUGCAUGGCAACAAAGGGUAUAUCAUAAUUGUGAUGCAUAUGACCCAUCCUAAUUGCUUCUCUGCUGUCUACAUUGGAUCAACAGGGCAACUCUGAUGCAAAGGAACGAGGGGACGUUGAUCUGACAAAAGCCUUUGGCAGAAGACUUUAAACUGCCUGGACUUUCCUGACCUCAGAGUAGCUGUUUUUAUCCAAUAAAACUUUGAAAGCCAACUUGAACGCAAAAUUGAGGAAAAGAAAUCAUCCACGCACUGGUUUGUGAUUUUUAACUCCGACACGAUCUGCUUUCAGUCUGGAAGACGAUGCUUCUUGUUUACAGCCUGCAGAUCCUGGGAUCUACAGUAAGAAUUUUUCCAGUCCAGUGUUUCCUGGAACCACUUCCGUUUGCUUGCACUAGCCCUUCUUAAAUGUUAUGUAUAUGUUACAGAAGCUAUAUCUUUUAUUUGUCAGAUAUAAAAGGCUGCCUGGCUAUGUAGAAGUUUUGAAAUUUCUAAUACAUUUCAUACCUCCUACCUGACAUUUUUUCUUUUAAUCUUUGGCUAGUGGAAAUAUGUGUUUUGUUUUUUUUUACUGGAGUAAUGGACCAAACUAGGGAGUAUGUAUUGGACGGAAGUCAUGCAGCAUCUGGGGGGAGGAUUGUUGCAGAAAACUACCUGAAACCAUCAGCCUGGUUUAUGACUGCAGUUGGUUUUUCUGUUUGUUAGCUUGUUUUUUUUAAGGGUAAAAUGAAUAUUGGCAGGAUUCUGCAGAAGAUCUGAACAUUAAUGAAAAUGUGAGGCUGUUAAUGUGUAAGACACUGAUUAUUUUCUGUUUUGGAGUUCUGUGUUCAAGCUUGGUCAUGCUCCCCUCCAUCUCCCCCCUGGAAAGAUGCAAUUGCUUUGGAAAAGAUAUAACAAAAAGUAAUCAGCACGAUUCUGACCCUUAAGAAUCUCUCUCAUGAGGAAGAGAUGCAGUAGAGUCUUGAUUUCUUUUAUUUUUUAAAUGAAGUAAUCCCUAAUUACAUGUGGCACGAUGCCCUCCUGCCACUUUGUUGAAAUGACAGUCAGCAAAAAAGAUAAACAUUUAAAUGUUUUACAGGGUACAUUUCAUCACCUCCACCUUCAUUACUUGGGACUAAAACUGUCCUUGGCUUUUGGGAUGGCAAUAAAAUGUGCCUCAUAGUUGAUCCAAAUACAAAGAAUGACGCGUAACAGAAACAAAUGGAGCCUCCACAAUAUUUUAAUAUAAUAAAAAGCU